CGGGAGAGACGCACAUCUCUGUUCUCUCAGUCCAGGGAAGUUUAUCAAACUUCCAUGAUCAGUUCAAGUUAUUUCAUGUUUUCAACUUGUUCUGAAAACAUUCUGCCUCUAGAACGAAUGGAUGGGUUCUGGAUAAUAUAUUACCACUCCCUGGGGGACACUUCGAGAUGGAUUAAGUGCAGCAUGUAAUACCAUGGGGAUGGCAACAGAGCUGCAAUCAAUGGACCAGUUCAUAGGAUAAAUUACCAAUAGGCAGUCAUUUCGUGGAAACCCUCAAAGAAUGAAGCACAGGGAGCAGGAUUCCAAUUAAGUGACAUAUCCAGGGCACCGAAGUG